rnacentral:rRNA from 1 species
UACAGAGGGCUCAAGCGUUGUUCGGAUUCAUUGGGCGUAAAGGGUGCGUAGGCGGCGCGGUAAGUCGGGUGUGAAAUCUUGGAGCUUAACUCCGAAACUGCAUUCGAUACUGCCGUGCUUGAGGACUGGAGAGGAGACUGGAAUUUACGGUGUAGCGGUGAAAUGCGUAGAUAUCGUAAGGAAGACCAGUGGCUAAGGCGGGUCUCUGGACAGUUCCUGACGCUGAGGCACGAAGGCCAGGGGAGCAAACGGG